CUCAGAUGUGCGCGGGGCUCCCUGCAAGGUCUCGAUGUCUAGGUCAGGGGGGUGUCCCGCGUUCUGCACGCCGCUGUUCCUAAGUCACGCCUCCACGUGCAGGCGCUGGGCUGGGUGGUAUGGGUGCCGGAAACGGGCAUGCAGGAGAUUAGAAGCAGCGGCGCAGGAGUGGGGCUGCCCCCAGGUGAAGGUGCGCGUGCCCGCAUCCUGGGGCAGCAAGGAGCCCGAGUCACCAGAUGCCCAGCCCAGAGGCCACCUCCCUGCACCGAGGCCAGACGGUGGCCAGGGGCAACCAAGCGUGGGGCUGUGAUUUGUUAAAUAGGUUCCUCAGGACGGUGGAAAGAGCUGGGCCCAGCCUUGCCCAAGAUGCAUUGCGGGGGAGUCUGGACAUUUUAACCAUAUGGAGAAUUGGUAGAAGAUGCAAGCUGAAAAAGGAAGAUUCCAGUUGUGGUUUCGAACCCCCAUGUGCCAGCGAAUGUAAAGCUCUCCUGGGUGGAUGUGUGUGCCCUCCUGUUCAAACAGCGCCUGGUACCCUCCCGUCAGGAAAUGCCACCGUCCUCCGCUCCAGAGCCAGAAGAGCCUCCAAAUGUUACUCCUCAUGAAGCCUCCUUUCAAAUGCAUCUUGCUUGAGAAGAAGAUCAAUUGCAUUAUUUAAAAGUUUAAAAAAUUCAGUAUCAAACUUCCUGUGAGGUUUGAGAGCCCUAUAGCUUACAGAGCCAUAUCCAGAUGUAGCCCCACUUUAUACUUUUCUAUUGUUUUGUGGAUGUAUCCAGAGCUGCUUAUGUACUCUUUUUUAAUUAAAAGUCUUAUUUUUAUAUUGAAAACUCUCUAUAAUCUUAAACUGAAUUUCAGUAAAUGUUAGUAUC